rnacentral:rRNA from 1 species
GACGAACGCUGGCGGCGUGCUUAACACAUGCAAGUCGAACGGUGACGGAGAGCUUGCUCUCCUGAUCAGUGGCGAACGGGUGAGUAACACGUGGGCAACCUGCCCCAGACUUCGGGAUAACGCUUCGAAAGAGGUGCUAAUACCGGAUACGAACUCCUUGGCAUCCUUGGAGUUGGAAAGUUUUUCGGUCUGGGAUGGGCCCGCGGCCUAUCAGCUUGUUGGUGAGGUAACGGCUCACCAAGGCGACGACGGGUAGCCGGCCUGAGAGGGCGACCGGCCACACUGGGACUGAGACACGGGCCAGACUCCUACGGGAGGCAGCAGUGGGGAAUAUUGCGCAAUGGGCGAAAGCCUGACGCAGCAACGCCGCGUGAGGGAUGACGGCCUUCGGGUUGUAAACCUCUUUCAGCAGGGAAGAAGCGAAAGUGACGGUACCUGCAGAAGAAGCACCGGCUAACUACGUGCCAGCCGCCGCCGUAAAAC